AUACUCUGGUUUCUCUUCAGAUCGAAAAAAUCCGUCACCUUUUUCUAAUAGAUUUCCGUGGAGAGGAACAUCCUACUGUUUUUUGUAAUAAUUUUUUGAGGCUCUGCCCCAUGCAGGGCU